UACGUAGGGUGCGAGCGUUGUCCGGAAUUACUGGGCGUAAAGAGCUCGUAGGUGGUUUGUCGCGUUGUUCGUGAAAACUCACAGCUCAACUGUGGGCGUGCGGGCGAUACGGGCAGACUGGAGUACUGCAGGGGAGACUGGAAUUCCUGGUGUAGCGGUGGAAUGCGCAGAUAUCAGGAGGAACACCGGUGGCGAAGGCGGGUCUCUGGGCAGUAACUGACGCUGAGGAGCGAAAGCUAGGGGAGCGAACAGG
rnacentral:rRNA from 1 species